GACGAACGCUGGCGGCGUGCUUAACACAUGCAAGUCGAGCGGUAAGGCCCCUUCGGGGGUACACGAGCGGCGAACGGGUGAGUAACACGUGAGCAAUCUGCCCAUCACAUCGGGAUAACUCCGGGAAACCGAAGCUAAUACCGAAUACGACCACUUCAGGCAUCUGACGGUGGUGGAAAGUUCCGGCGGUGAUGGAUGAGCUCGCGGCCUAUCAGCUUGUUGGUGGGGUAACGGCCUACCAAGGCUUCGACGGGUAGCCGGCCUGAGAGGGUGACCGGCCACACUGGGACUGAGACACGGCCCAGACUCCUACGGGAGGCAGCAGUGGGGAAUAUUGGACAAUGGGCGAAAGCCUGAUCCAGCAACGCCGCGUGAGGGAUGACGGCCUUCGGGUUGUAAACCUCUUUCAGCAGGGACGAAGCGCAAGUGACGGUACCUGCAGAAGAAGCACCGGCCAACUACGUGCCAGCCGCCGCCGUAACAC
rnacentral:rRNA from 1 species